UUUGGAAAUUCCAUGAAAACAUCCCUGUUGUCGUAUUUCGGUUCGUCAUGCUCUGUAAUGGACCUGACCAGUUCUCUAGUAUUACUCCCGUUAUGUAUCCUCUUGAAAGCUGAAAUCAUGAAAACUACCAAUAUACAAGUACCAGAAUGCAGACUGGACGGCCGUCUCCAGAGAUCGGGAAAUACUUCGGAGGACAUGUGCACCCAGUGCCGAGAAUGUCUAAACAAGUCACUGUGUAAAAAGUCAGUCAAAACAAAAUGUAUCCAGUGUCCGCCAGGAUCGUUUGUCAGACUGACACGUAAAGAAAAGAUAUGUCGGGGCUGUAGGAAGUGUUUAAAAAGUGUUCAUCAUAUCAGGUGUGCCGACAUUGUCGACUUGAACUGUAAACUGGAUUGCCGUCAUACGACAACUGACCACCGAUGUAAGGCGUGCCCUGUUUGCAGGGAGGACGAGUUCACGAAGGCUAAUUUUUCUGCAACACAUAAUACCGUGUGUAAGCCGUGCAAACGGUGCAAGCCGUCUCAUUUUGUCCACCGGAAGUGCUCAAAUCAAACUAACACUCAAUGUAGACCGUGUACCAAAUGCCGUAAAGGUCAUACAUAUAUUUAUAAAAAAUGCAGAGGAAACAAAGACACACAGUGUAGACAAUGCUCCAAGUGUAAACCAGGUCAUUACGUCAGAAAGAAAUGUACAAUACGUCAUGAUACUAAAUGUGCUCAGCUGUCCUUCUGGUACAGAUUGUGACAGGUGUCGCGUCCGGUACUUACAAGUCCGUUCAUAACCGCUCUAUGAGUCGAUGUGUUCCAUGUGAAGCUGGAAGAUUUAUGGAUAAAGAUCAGCACUUUUUAACUUUCUGUAAAACGUGUCGGCGAUGUGGUCCACAUGAACUCAUCGUUCAAGCGUGUAACAUAACACAUGACACGAGAUGUGGACCAUGCAUAUCAGGGUAUUUCGCCUGUCGUCAUCCCACAAUUGUGCAAUGUGUUCGCCCUGUUCCCCCGAAUUCUACAGGCCUAGAAGUAGACGAAUGUCGACAAUCUACAAAUGCUAGCCGGAUCUGCAUGCCACUGACACCUUUAUAUGACCACCAUUAUCAAAGACCCUCACCCAAAGACCCGCCAUUAAAAUCUGCCUCGACCCCGCCGUUUCAGCCGCCAACUUCAGAUUUUCGGAUUGGGUCAAAGUUAGGUUUGUGAUUAUGAUCGGAUGUUAGCUCUUAUUCACAUCAUCUUAAAGGUUUUUAAUAACCGGUUACAGUACUCGCUUGCUUUUCUGAUCGAGUACUCUGUUACUCGUAUUUUUAGACGGAGGCUGUUUAACAGCCUCCGUAUAUUGUGAUUGUCUUGCCCGUGACGCCAUAUAAUGAGGAUUCCUUAAGCACCAUCUAGCGGUAGACGAAAUAAUGAAUGAUUAUGAGAUUUGAUGAAUAAACAUGGCGCGCUUCUUUGUCUCUGU
rnacentral:misc_RNA from 1 species